AACUAUUUUGAUUAUGUGAUCAACAGAUAGUGUAUCUACUGCAUACGGUGUUACUGACGUUUCCCUCAAUCCUGAAAUGGUAGAGGUUGAAGCUUUUUCAAAAUUGCUGAACAAAAGAGACCCGCAUAUAGCAUUGGUGCCGUCGAAACCUGUUUGUCUGAUUCCGGAAAUAUUUGAAAAGUAGAUUUUUCAAGCCUAUCAUUCAGAAAUCAAUUAUUGAAGUGUUGGAGACAGAACAGGUAAAGGAGAUGUUAUAUCUUGAGGUUGUUUUUCGAUUCUUUUAUAACACUCUGCUUUUUGGAUACACAGCUAGAGAGGUGUAUUGUUAUCUGUACAAUUGCUGCCAUUGAUUAUGAUAUGGGAUGGUACUAUAUGAGUUGCAAAAUCUGUUGUCAAAAAGUAUUGUCUGUGCCAAGCGAUCAGAUGGUUUAUGGAAUUCAAAAGUCCCAAGUCAAGAAAAAGUACUACUGCGCCAAGUGUAAAACCUAUCGGCCAGAACUUCUGCCAAGGUACAAUUUACAAUUGGUAGUCCUUGACAAUACUGGCCACACAAAGUUCCUUCUGCUUGACAACCUUGCAGAAGAAUUAUUAGGGAUUCCCUGCGUUGUGUUAUCCGGUUCAUCGGCUGACCAGAUCGAGGACCGCGUUGUCGUC